rnacentral:lncRNA from 1 species
AAGGGACUCCCCUUCUUGGUCCACGUGAAGGAAUUGCAUUCCUUUUCACUCCAACGCUUCAAAGUCCUUCUAUGUCAGAGAAGGGUCUCCACUUUUAUCCCAUUGGAAUUGCUCUUAGGAUGAGCAGCAUUGGAGUUGCUAAGGGUUUAAUUAAAAUCUCCAUUGGUAGGAUUCUUUUGAAUUAGUCAGUAGAGACUAGUCAGACUGAACCAAGAUGAAAGAAAAAGCGGUACAGAUAUAGAUUCUAAUUUUGAUAGCAUGAAAGUAGCUGUUUCAUUGAAAGUGGAUCAAAACUCAAAACUAAAUCCAAAAUUACAGAGUGGGGUACAAUUUCCAUUACCAAUCUGCACAGGCUAAAAGUCAAACAAACAUGGCCACACAAAAGAGACAAUGGACAAAUAUUAUUCCAACGUUAAUUGGAUUCUUUAAAGAAAGCUAUACAUUCACGACAUAUGUAUGCAUACAUUUUGUUCAAAAUUUUACCUUUACACGCAAUAAGAUGCUAUAAGCAUAUUUGGCAAUGUUUGUUGAAGAAACCAAAGGCUUUGUUAAAGGGCACGGGAUAAACCAGAAGACCCUGCUUCAGUUUAAAUUCAUAAUAAUGACUAGCUACUAGAAAAUGUAUUAUAGUUAAUAGCUUAUUGCACGGUACAGUGUCGUUCUUUAUGUUGUCAGCCUUCUAAAUAAAGUAGGAUUUGAUUAAUUUCUCUUCAAUUGUUUCAAUUCUGGAGGAAUUAAUAGUCUGGUUGAUUGUGCUCAUUAUAACGGUGAUGUUUUAAAUUAAAGUAUAAAUUAAUUUCUGUUUAAGAUUAUUGUUUUGUUAUUGGUCAUGUCUUUAUUCACCUAUUACUCUAUGUCUCUAUUAACAUUUGAGUAUUUCUCUUUUGGAUAA